AAAUUGCAUAUCUAACAUAUGUGCUUGUGUGCCUUCAUACAAGACGCUGUUGUCUGUUUGAUGAAGGUCGCUCCAGCUGAUGCCUUGCAAACAGAAGCUGCAUGUCAGUGGAGACCUAUUGAUCUUGCUGGGGUUCUCCUGAGGUUAAAGCCUUUCUCCUCACCUGACCAUUCUCACUGUUUCAGCUUCCACCCUGCUGAAGGCUGGCCAUGCCUUUGUCUCUGGACUGCUCUGUUGGGCUUAUCAGGUUUCCACAGCCUUUUCUGUCCUUUAUUUCCUUCUACUUAGCGAUGUCCCGUAAUAUCUGCAUCUUGUAUCUGGGAAGUAUUUAUGAGCAGGAGAUUCUUCUAGCCCAGAAACCAGCUCAGUCUGCAUUUAAACAAGGAUAGGGAUAGAGGAAAAAAACCCUUUCUCUGAGGUCUCUCAGGAAGGAAAGAUGGCUUUCAGCAGGAGCCAGGAGUGGUUCAGCUGCUCCACUGACCUCCUCCACUCACUGGCAUAGAUAUAGGGGAUUGCAGCACAGAGAGAGUAGUGCCUUCAGUGAUGGCACUUUGCUGGAUAGGAGUGAGAAAGACCAAGAGACACUGAUGCUGAUUGAAUCUUGAGGAAAAGAAGGGAAGAUACUAUUCACUGUGUUCCUCAGCUGGCCCUGAGUUCCAGCUUUCUGUUUCAUCACUCAGUUCCUUCUAACAAUAAUUUUGUCUGAGAAAUACCUGGUAAGAUGUUAGAGGGUGGAGAAAUGUAAGGUUUAUUGUUAUCUUGGGGUUAUAAAAGUGUUUUAAAAUAUUUCUGAAGCCCAAAAAAGAAAAUCUGGUAGAAGUUAGAAAUAAUAUGGCCAUGUAGAGAAGAUGAUUGGGAAAUAUGGGAGGGCAUGAGGGAGGAUUAAUGGAAAAAGGGGACAUGUACUGCAUGUACUUUCAUGUUAGACUUUGUCCUUAUAAACCAUAGUAGGAAGAGCUAGAGCAGAUGCAGACCUUUUGGAAUAUCACGGGUGUUAUUUGAAUUGGCAUUAGCCAGACAAACACAAUCUUCAGUAACCAUGAAUGUUUCUAAAAUGUCAGAUAGGUUUAGCUCGCAGCUCUGUUGCACAUGCCUUUGGGUUUAAAAUUAAAAACCUUUUACAUACAAGAAUGUGCAUUACACUGAGUUGUACUGAAAGUGUAGGAAAACAUUCUUCAACUAAAGAAGUAGGAAGAGCUAAGUUUUAAUACUAAAGUAUUUGCUGCACUCGAGGAUUACACUUGAGGAUUAUAGUGUUAAGCUGAUUUAGGACAUUAGAUCUGAAGGACUGGGACAUAAACCACAAGUGUAAUGAAAGAUUUUGCCAGAACUCAUUCUUACCCUGUUUGUCUUGGUCUUGGGUUUUUGCUUGAACAGGUUAGCUGCCUAAGUUUGCACUAAAAUUUGGCUUUUGUUGCACUUUUAGGGAAAUGACUUGGAAAUAAACACCCUAUAUAAUCA